AUUGAACGCUAGCGGGAUGCCUAACACAUGCAAGUCGAACGAGUGGCGGACGGGUGAGUAAUAUAUCGGAACCUGCCCAGUAGCGGGGGAUAACUACUCGAAAGAGUAGCUAAUACCGCAUACCAUCGGAUGUGCCCAUAUGGGAUUCGCUAGUUGGUGGGGUAAAGGCUCACCUAGGCAACGAUCCCUAGCUGGUUUGAGAGGAUGACCAGCCACACUGGGACUGAGACACUGCCCAGACUCCUACGGGAGGCAGCAGUGGGGAAUAUUGCACAAUGGGGGCAAGCCUGAUGCAGCCAUGCCGCGUGUAUGAAGAAGGCCUUCGGGUUGUAAAGUACGUUUGGCAGGGAAGCGGUACCUGCAGAAUAAGCACCGGCUAACGCCGUGCCAGCCGCCGCGGUAAUUC
rnacentral:rRNA from 1 species